AUGGACUCACAUACUCUAGUUGGGCUAUGUCCCAUUAUUUGACCCAACCGACAUAGACUCAAUUAUUUAAAACUACAAACUUCAAAGACAUACUGGAAUAAAGCAAUUUUUGGGACCACAAAAAUAAUAAUAAUGUGGCCAAUGGUGUAAUCAAUCUUGAGCCUUUCAUUUUAGAACCAAACCCGUGGCACCGAGUUUCUCAUCGACCAGUUUGUCAAUCUUUUCAAUCAUCUCAUCCCUCAUCCGUGAAGUAGUUCUUCCAGUCUCCCUCCUUAGCCUUCCUGAAGUAAAGUCGAUUUUCAAUCCCAAAAAAUCCAUUUGAACAACCACUUUUGUUUACUUCCAAGUUGCUCAAAUUCUCAAAACUACACAAGUUUAUAAUGCUUUGUAUCACACCCGCUUUCUCUUCUUCGAUUUAUCCUAAGAUAUGAUCCCAAUAUGGCCCAUAAAGUGAAAUGCCCUGAUAAAAUUCAUUGAAUGCCUCCUCAAAUGGGGCAUCU
rnacentral:lncRNA from 1 species